UAUGCAAUGAAAACUUUUGACUAAACAACCUUCUGGAAUACUGUUUGACUCUCCCUCACCUGACACGGUAUCAAGUCAUCUCUAAUACUGCUUUUUGAUUUCCUUUGCCAAACUGUUGCAAUCACCCCGGAUCAAAUAAAAUGAGCUCUCCAGUGACUGUGUGAGGCCUUGGGCUUUGGCUCUUUACUGCUUCCUGGGUUGCAUCAGAUACCUUUGUACCCAAGCACACAAAAGGCCUUUGCUGGGCAUACACCCCUGCAGAGGUCAAAUCCUUCUGGGCAGAAGAUGGGUGUUUUGUGGCAAGCUGCUCAUGUGCUUUGCUUGGGAUCACUGCUUCUUUGUCAGUCUCUGUUCUUCCUCUUGAAGCCAAAGAGAGCUGCGGGAACAGGGACAGCCAGGGACCUGUGACUUCCCGUUUCAUCUCCUGCCACAAAGGAAACUGUACAAUUUGUAAACAGAGGUCUGGAGAAAAAUUAAGCUCCACGGAAGGAACCUGAAUCCCGUCCUGCAGUGGAAGUUCGAGAGGGGCCAGGAGCCACAGCCCAGGCGCAGGCAGCAGCUCAGCGUGUGCACAGCCCUUUUCAGACCCUAGGACAUCCUUUAGGAGAUGACUGAAGCCGAACGGAAUACAUGGCAAGAAACAGGAACCACUGUGGCUGGCCUACAUCUCCAGGACAGAAACCACAAACGAGAGCCAGCCUUUAACUGGCAGGCAACGCCACGCCCUUCUCUUUCGGAGGAAGGGCUCAGUGCAGCUCCAGGGAAACGCGAGGACCGGGGCUCAGCUGCCUGCCCGGGCCAGCCCGGCCCCCACGGCCCCGCAGCCCCCGCUAGCUCGGCCCCUGGCCCGUUGGCUCUGAUGGUUCCCAGCCAGGCAGCCCGGGAGAGUUCGCCUGAAUUCUGAAAUGCAAAUGGAGGUAGCCAACGGUGGUGUCUUUUCUUCCAAAACACAUGCUCUCACCAGGAGUGUCUUAAGUGGAUCCUUCUCUUCUUUCCUCAUUUCUGCCGCAAACCAAAAAUGCCUCAUCCAGAAGUGAAGGCUGAGAGGACGCUAGGAAACAUGGGAGGGCUGGCCUGAAAUCCCAGCGCCACGAGGCCUACCAGUUCUCCCACUCCUACGGCGAUGCGGCUGCAGCGCACACACGCACACGUGUGCACACAUAUGUAAUCACACACAGCUAAGUCAUUAAAGCUUUAACUGGUGGCUUAUAUGGGCCCUUUAUCAACUCAAACAACUGAGGCUUGUUUCUUCAGUGCUCUGUAUCUGUGGCUUUUUCAUUUUUAACAGGUUUUUAUAAGCUGAACUAAAAGGACUCAGGUACCAACCUAUUGUACAGAUAUUUGAAUAUGGGAGGGUGUGGCUCCCACUGUACUGGGUUGUUUUCCUUAUAAAACAGGUGCCUGGCCUCCUAAGCCCAAGACAUUUACUUUGACUCAGCUGUCCCAUGUUCUGAGGGAUUUAAUACCAGCAGGCGUUUCUGGAGGGAGAAAAAAGAUGCACUGGUGGGUGGUCCUCAGGUGUGUAUAAAGAAUCUGUCCCCAGAAAUGCUAUUACAUCACCAAACAAUGGUGAUACGGGAUGCAGAACAAGGCAUACAGAUUGCCUUUUUUUCUGGACUAUGAAUUGGGGGAGGUUUUGUUUUAUAACAAGAAUAACAGGUCACAGUUGUAUAAUUCAAUGAUGUUUAUAGAAAAACUUAUGUAUUACUUCUUUAUUGGACCUUAUUCAAAUCUCUCAUCUUCAGUAAGUCAUAGAUGAAUGAUGAAUUACUGAAAGACUAUUUUGUAAGAUAUAUUUUCUUCCUAAGUUCUUGGAGGGUUCUUCCAAUAAAGAGUGUGACUCAAAAAAAAAUUUUUUUUAAUUAAAACUAAACGAAGCAGGUGCCCACAAGACUGAACCAGAGGGCUUCACCGGCAGCCUGGUGCUGCGAGUGGCACGAACGUGGCUAGGAUGUGAUGGAGGAAACCACAGAUGGCACCCAAGCCCCGUUACAAAAGGAAUGAUGAGCAGGUAACUGUCAGAUUAUCAGGGAGACACAAAACCAUUAGAAAUUCUUCGGAACUUUACAAAAACCAGAGUGUUUGUUUUUGUUAACUUACCCUCUCUGUGACUACACAUGAUUGGUUUAGAAUUUGUGCAUACAGUAGAGUUGUUUAAUGCUUUUAAGUACAUGAAAACU